GAAGAAUGUUGUUCCAGUUAAGACCUCUUCUGGGUUUGAUUCUGUUGCAGCUCCUAGUACUUCAGGUUUUCCUGCUUCUGUUUAUAAUAAGGCACCAACAGAUUCCAGGAUUACUUCACAAAAUUUCUAUAUGAAGAAUAGUCCACAGAAUGCUUCAGGAUCUCGGGGACUUUAUGAGCAGAAAGUUCCUCUGAAUCAACCACCUUUGCCUCCAAUGCCACCUCCAUCAACAAUCUCACCUUUUAUAUCUCAGAACCCUGAUCCAGUCCCCAGUCAGUCAUCCCCCUUUGUCAACUCUUUGACAGAAGGUCAGCAACCCCUUGCCACGGCAUUCCAAGUUCAGUCAGAUUAUCUGUCUGCAUUUGGUAACAGCGCUGCAUCAUUAGCAUCCUCCCUUCCCGUGUCAGAUUCCAAGUAUUUACGGGCUUCUAUCUCUUCUCCCAGUGG
rnacentral:misc_RNA from 1 species